UACAUACUCCCUUCCUCCGAAAAUACUUGUUAUCAAAAUGGAUAAAAGGAGAUUUAUCUAUAUGUAUUUUAAUUUUAGAUACAUCUUUUUUUAUUUAUUCUGAUGACAAGUAUUUUUGGACGGAGAGAGUAUUAU
rfam:Triticum urartu cultivar G1812 contig799868, whole genome shotgun sequence.